CAGAAAUUUCUGAACACUUGACUCAUUCAUUUCUGUUUACAACUACAGACAUCCAGAACAAAAGGAAAAAUCUAACAUUCAGUUAAAUAUUAACAUUGACUAGGAACAUCACUUGAAAUACACCACAGCCCUUCAGCCUUCAGAGUUUUCAGUUGGAAUCUGAGAUUUGACUUAACAGAUGAAAUUGCUGGAAUGAUGGAUGUAGAAUUCAGAAUCUGGAUGGCAAUGAAGAACAUUGAGGUUCAGGAGAAAGUUGAAACCCAAGCCAAGGAAUCUAAAGAAUCCAGCGAAAAGAGCAAUACAAAGCAAAGCACUCUUAAGGUAGCUGAGAGCCAAGAAAAGACAGUGAACUAUGAAGAAGACAGUGAGCCUUUGAUUCCACUUCUGGAGCAACAGAUAAAGGUAAAUAAAAAUAAUUUAUUAAAAAAAUUCAAUUGCCGAUUAA
rnacentral:lncRNA from 13 species